rnacentral:rRNA from 1 species
AUUGAACGCUGGCGGCAGGCCUAACACAUGCAAGUCGAGCGGAUGAAGGGAGCUUGCUCCUGGAUUCAGCGGCGGACGGGUGAGUAAUGCCUAGGAAUCUGCCUGGUAGUGGGGGAUAACGUCCGGAAACGGGCGCUAAUACCGCAUACGUCCUGAGGGAGAAAGUGGGGGAUCUUCGGACCUCACGCUAUCAGAUGAGCCUAGGUCGGAUUAGCUAGUUGGUGGGGUAAAGGCCUACCAAGGCGACGAUCCGUAACUGGUCUGAGAGGAUGAUCAGUCACACUGGAACUGAGACACGGUCCAGACUCCUACGGGAGGCAGCAGUGGGGAAUAUUGGACAAUGGGCGAAAGCCUGAUCCAGCCAUGCCGCGUGUGUGAAGAAGGUCUUCGGAUUGUAAAGCACUUUAAGUUGGGAGGAAGGGUAGUAAGUUAAUACCUUGCUGUUUUGACGUUACCAACAGAAUAAGCACCGGCUAACUUCGUG